CGUUACAGCCAUAGCACCCUGAACACACCCAAUCUCAUCUGAUCUCAGAAGCUAAGCAGGGUUGGGCCAGGUUAGUACUUGGAUGGGAGACCACUUGGGAAUACUAGGUGCUGUAGGGA
rnacentral:rRNA from 1 species